rnacentral:rRNA from 1 species
GUAUAAGAGACAGCAGUAGCCACGGUAAUACAGAGGGUGCGAGCGUUAAUCGGAUUUACUGGGCGUAAAGCGUGCGUAGGCGGCUUCUUAAGUCGGAUGUGAAAUCCCUGAGCUUAACUUAGGAAUUGCAUUCGAUACUGGGAAGCUAGAGUAUGGGAGAGGAUGGUAGAAUUCCAGGUGUAGCGGUGAAAUGCGUAGAGAUCUGGAGGAAUACCGAUGGCGAAGGCAGCCAUCUGGCCUAAUACUGACGCUGAGGUACGAAAGCAUGGGGAGCAAACAGGAUUAGAUACCCCGGUAGUCCCUGUCUCUUAUAC